CAUGUGUCUUAAAAGAUCCAAAGUACAUAAUAUCAUCGAUAUGAUGGAGCAGCAUGUUUUCUAGGUAAUGUAGAGAUGCUUAAGAUUCAUGGAGAACAGAUUGUGACAGUGGAAGGAAGAGUUGAUAUAUUCCUGAGGUGAUGGUCUUCUAUCCUUUUGAAGUUGGCAGCAUUUAAACACUACAUUAUAAAAUAAGGACUUCAGUAUAAGAGAAGUAUUUUAACUAACAGGUUGUGUAAUCUACUAGACAACAUUGCUUGGUGACAUGACCAGAAGUGUUCAAAAGAGAUUCCUACAAACUUUGCCAGUGCUCUCUGGAAACCAAAUCCAUCGAACAAAUGUUUUUUAUUCAUACUCUGAAGACAAAAAACAUCAGAUAGAAUAAGAUGGUGCCCUGGAGAGCUGUAACUGGAAGUCAUUCAGGUUUGCCAUGGUAUACUUUUU